CUCACUCACACACACUCACUCACACACACACACACACACACACACACACACACACACACACACACACACACACACACACACGUACGUCAUAAUGUUUAUAAUGUUGCUAUACAUAUCAUUAUAACAUAUGUUGAUAUAAUGACAUGUACCGUCAGAUGGCGAUAGUGAGCCGACUCCGGCGUUCACUUUCCUAUGAACAAGUCACACGACGGGGGCACGGUGGCUUAGUGGGUAGCACGUUCGCCUCACACCUCCAGGUGGAGCUCUUCAGAUCUUGAUGUUGCCCCUAACUAGAUUCUACCUGCAUCUUCAAUUUACAAUAGGCCUCCAGAGGGAGCUCUUAACUGAAGUCUUCUCUUUGCUGAUGAUCUGCUGCUCUGUAGAGCUCAGCUGAGCCAGAACACUUUCCCUCCUAUUCUCAUCUGAAGAUGGCUGCAGGUUCUGGAAGUGGUUCAGCAGUUUUCU